rnacentral:rRNA from 1 species
UACAGAGGUCUCAAGCGUUGUUCGGAUUCAUUGGGCGUAAAGGGUGCGUAGGCGGCGCGGUAAGUCGGAUGUGAAAUCUCGGAGCUUAACUCCGAAACUGCAUUCGAUACUGCCGUGCUUGAGGACUGGAGAGGAGACUGGAAUUUACGGUGUAGCGGUGAAAUGCGUAGAUAUCGUAAGGAAGACCAGUGGCGAAGGCGGGUCUCUGGACAGUUCCUGACGUGAGGCACGAAGGUCAGGGGGAGCAAACGGG